rnacentral:rRNA from 1 species
UACGUAGGGUGCGAGCGUUGUCCGGAAUUAUUGGGCGUAAAGAGCUUGUAGGCGGUCUGUCGCGUCUGCUGUGAAAAUCCGGGGCUCAACCCCGGAUUUGCAGUGGGUACGGGCAGACUAGAGUGUGGUAGGGGAGACUGGAAUUCCUGGUGUAGCGGUGAAAUGCGCAGAUAUCAGGAGGAACACCGGUGGCGAAGGCGGGUCUCUGGGCAGUAACUGACGCUGAGGAGCGAAAGCGUGGGGAGCGAACAGG